rnacentral:tmRNA from 1 species
GGGGCUGACUGGCUUUGACAGCGUGUAGAGGUGGUAAGCAAGCAUGCAGAGCGAUAAUGGCAAUGCUCUUAAAUCACAGUCAUUGACUACUUUAAAUGGCGAAAACAACUACGCUCUCGCUGCCUAACCGAAGAACAGUAAGUUCGGCUUUAUCGCUGCCCAAGGGGCAGUGACGAGACAUCACCCAACUUCGUUUCGGGCCUGCCAGCGGUCGAAAACCAAGCCGAGACUAAGCAUGUAGAAACCUUAUUAGUUCCACGUUUGGACGAGGGUUCAAACCCCUCCAGCUCCACA